AGCAGCCGCGGUAAUUCCAGCUCCAAUAGCGUAUAUUAAAGUUGUUGCAGUUAAAAAACUCGUAGUUGAACUUCGGGGUUUACCCAUUGGUCAGGCUUAAUUGUCUGCACUGGUGAGAUGAAUCUCUACCUUCUGAGGAACUUUCAUGCCAUUUAUUUGGUGUGAUGGGAAAUCAGGACUGUUACUUUGAAAAAAUUAGAGUGUUUAAAGCAGGCUAACGUCUGAAUACAUUAGCAUGGAAUAAUGAAAUAGGACGGACUGAUUCUAUUUCGUUGGUUUCUAGGAUCACCGUAAUGAUUAAUAGGGAUAGUUGGGGGCAUUAGUAUUCAAUUGUCAGAGGUGAAAUUCUUGGAUUUAUUGAAGACUAACUACUGCGAAAGCAUUUGCCAAGGAUGUUUUCAUUAAUCAAGAACGAAAGUUAGGGGAUCGAAGACGAUCAGAUACC
rnacentral:rRNA from 1 species